AAAAGAGUCAUUUUACUCUAUCACAAAAAAAAAAAAAAAACUUUCUUGUACGGUUCUAUUGCUCAUUCCAUCACUUUUCAUAAUUCUAGAAUCCAGAGGAGUUAGAGAUGACUCUCUUCUCUAGAUUUUCAAUUCAAAGGAUUGCUCUUUGAGUUCUCAUCUGGAUUUUGCAGUGUUUGUAUUUUUCUUCAGAUUACUCUUUCAAUUGGCUUCAUCUUCUCAGUUGAUUGUUCUAAUUUCAGGUAUGCUUUCCUUUCAAUUUUACGCAAAUUUCGCCCAUUUCUCUUCUUACUUCUGCAAUUCAUUAAUGAUGUCGUCAUUAUUCUGUAUAAUCCUCUCACCAAUUUCAUGGCUGAAGGCUUUUGUCAUCCUCACAUAACUGCCAUCUUUUUUGUAUUUGCCCUUCAGAUUAUGUGUGCUUCCCUCGGUUAGCUUUGCCUUCUACUGUAAUCAGUGAAAUUACCUUUGCUUUUUCUCUUUGCUCAUUUCAUUGUUUCUGUUUCUUUCUUUUUUAUUUUGGUGACUAUUUAUUCUCAUAAUUUUAUAUGGGUCGAUUAAUGUGAAACCUCAAAAUGUAGGAAAGUUUCGGUCUUGAAAAAAAUUCUCGCUUUGAGUUCAGUCCUUUUUAAAUUUUGAGUACUUGUUCUUAUAAUUUUAUGUGACUCCAUUUAUGUUAAACAAAAUUGUUGUGGCAUCUCAGAUAUUGGGAAAUCAGUUUUACAACAACAACAUACCCAGUGUAUUCUCAUAAGUGGGGUCAAGGGAGGGUAGGAUGUACGCAGGCCUUACCCCUACCUUUGUGAGGGUAGGGAGGCCGUUUCCGAUAGACUCUCGGCUCAAGAGAAAAACAGACCAUGUUGGCUGACUGCUACACACACGAUGAUGAUGAUUGGGAUCACAAGUGGUGUUAAUGCUAAUAACCAAUUAAGUUUUAGAGGACGAUCAAGGGAUGCUUCUGAUAGAUUGAUAUCCAUAAAGUGUUCGAUAAAUAUAUCAGGAAAAUAUUUCCUACUUCUUCAGAGGAUAGUACAAUACCAGCAACAUAUUGAAAUAGAAGCCAUUCUUUGUGUAUGCCCCCCGCUAAGACGAGCAGAGUAACAAGCCCUUUAGUUUAGAUUUCUAAGGUGGGGCUCUAUGCAUCUGAUAGAGGUGCUUUCUUAUUUAUCAAAAUACUUUUCCAGACUCCAAACUAUAACAUAUUGAGGUUUUCUUUUAUUAUCAAAUUGUAAGAGCCUGCUAUUUCAGCAAGUUUGCCUCUCAAACUAGAGUUCAUGUAACUUAUGUCCUAAUGCCUUUUGAUUUAGAUAUCUGAAAUAUCUAAAACUACGAAUUAGCAUUCGAUGCUGAUCUAUAAAUUUUUUGUAAUACUUAAUGGAUUCCUUUCUUAAAAGUGGUUUCUUUUUUUCUUUUUUUUUUUUUUUUUUUGGGAGGAUUAACUCCAACAUGUAUAAUGAUGAGGACAACGAGUAAUAUAUAUCUUGAUAAUGAUGAGAUUUCUACUAUAUAGAAGAGUGAACAAUGGAACGACCAAGGGGAAAAACGUAAAUUAGCUGAGUGAAAAAAAAAAUCUUCGUCACAUUUACACCAACACAGACCCAAUAUAUAUGUCUAGAAACAUCCAUUCAUCUGUUUCUCUCCUUCAUAUUUCUCAAGUGCCACCCUCUCAAAGAAUGGUCUUUCAGUUUUCUUAAGUCUCAAUGAACUUUUUCGGUUGGUUACAACAUCAAGUAUGUUCAUCUUUCAAUUUUUGCCCAAUUCUUAUUCAUUUUUCCCCUUCAUCUUCUUUUCAAUCUUUGGCUUUUUCAGAUCUUUUCAGAUUCCUAAGAUUGUUAUCAUUCUGUCUUUCCAUAAGUUCGUCACUUGAACAUAGAAGCAUGGAACAUUGAAACAUUGAGUGGGAAAAAAAAUACAAAAAUAGAUGACCAAAUAAAAAAGGGUAGGCUUCGUUAUGUAUAAAAUUUAGAAGCGUGACUGAGAGUAGAUAAAGAUGAAAAAACAGAUGAUAGCAGUGUUUCAAUCUGGGUUGACUCCUUAGCACAGAACGAGAAUCUCUUCACCGGAUAAUCUGGUGAUACUUUAAUGUUGUAAUUUUACAUCCAACAUUAAUGACAAUUUAGAUAUUUUGCCUAUUAACAGUGUUUUGAAAUAUCUAGACUACUCCCCUAUCAGUCCUCUCCCUCGCAGGGUAUGAUCUAUGUUCGCCAUAAACUCAUUUGCUGACAGUGGGCGUCAAAAAACCACUAGACCAACAAUUUCAUGGCUUUUCUCUGGUGUAUUAGGAUCUUUCUAAAGAUAAAAAGCAACCAAACUGUCAAAUUCCAGUGAUAAAAGAGGUAGUUCUUUUCUUAAAUUCAGUUUUUUCCUUGCUUUAUAAUUGCUCAUAUAUUUUAUUUUAGCAAUUUAUGGUGGGAAUCAUUAUGGUAACUGUAGAUCUUUGUAAGCAAGUUAUGUUGGAAUUAUAGUGGGUUAUCUCAAAACAGGGUUCGGGGAAUGUAUCGGACUUAAGAUGGAAAUUUGUAUGCUCCGGUAACUGUGACUCAAGCAAAUGAGCCCUGCUGCUUUAUGGCUUCUUAUCUUUUUGUUUCUUUUAUUUUUAUUUUAAUAUUUCGUCGGUGAUUUAAUCUUUUUAAAAUGAAAUAUGGUAAAGACUUGAUCUUGAUACACUAAUGAGCAGAUGGAGAUUCUCGGACGGGGAAAAGCGGCACUCGACAUUUAUUAAACAAGACCAAGAACAAAGCCAUACCAUGCCCUCGCUGUGAAUAGACAAGUGGUUGUGCAUUAUGUUUGAGCAAGCAAAUGCAAUUAUGUGAUUUUCUUACUAUGCUAUUUAAAGAGUGUUGUUCGAGGGCUAUGGAGUACUUCAAGAUCUUUUUUCUAUGUUAAACAACCAUAAUUUGUCUUACAUCUCAGGACAUUGUGGAAAGAUAUAAACUUAUAUUUUGAGAUUAAUAUGAAGAACUUUAUAUGCGUGUUAGAAAGCCUUACUUCAAGAAGCUGUUUGUGACAUUUCAUUCUUUUUUGUUCAGGGACCAGGAUUCUUCGAUGCCUGAUGAAACUUCUGAUCGAAAACUACAGUUUAUAUAGCAAAUGACCUUGCAAAUAACCUUCUCAAGUGGUCUAAUCAGGAUAUGGUCCAAUGAGAUAGUUUAUAAAAUUGCUGACAGAUAUUCUAGGCACCAUGUUGGUUAAUUACCCUUUAAAUAACUUGUGCCUCCAGCCCUCUACAUACUUCUUCACAUGGUAAGUUAUGUCUAUCGAGUAGACUACUCUUUCCUAUUCUUUUUAGUUGGUCAUAUGCCUGUAAUUGAUUAUGUUAAAAAGCCUUUGAUAGUUCUAUGCCUGUAAUUGACUAUGUUAAAAAGCUUUCGAUAGUUCUAUUACAUUAGCGUGGAUAGCUUCUCA